GUGGAUAUAGUUCAACGGAUAGAACUUCACAUUGUGGUUGUGAAAAUUCGGGUUCGAUUCCCGAUAUCCACA
rnacentral:tRNA from 1 species